AGGAGUAUAUGCUAAGGAAUUUCUUGGUAAACGGUUGCAGUUUGGACCCCUACAAGCUGAAAAAAUUCUUGCAGGCAGCCGACAAGUGACUGUGGAAGAGGAGAUUCAAGAGAGGUUUGGGAUUGUUUUUAAGAUUACACAGGAAGAAGGUGAUUAUCUUCUUUCUUGGAUACACAGCAAGAAGAACGCAGCAACUGGAUGAUAUUUGUGCGUCCAGCAGAAAAGAAAUCUGAGCAGAACUUGGUUGCUUUUCAGUAUAAAGGAGAAAUAUAUUUUGCUACAAUAAAGGAAAUAUCACCACAAUGUGAACUUAAAGUAUGGUUUUCAAAGGACUAUGCUGAGAGGAUGGGAACAAGAAUCCUAGCUGGUGAGUGCAUUUAAAAAGAUUAAUUUAACCUUUUUUGAGUUCCUUGUUGGACGAGUGGGUUAAGUGCUCGCCUAUUGAUUCAGUAGUCCCGAGUCCGAUUCCCCGCUCUGCCAAUGUGGAAUCAGAGGAACUUGUUUCUGGUGAUUAGAAAUUUAUCUAUAUAAUGUGGUUCAGAACUCACAAUAAGCUGUAGGUCCCUUUGCUAGGUAACCAAUUGAUUCCUAGCCACGUAAAGAUAUCUAAUCCUUCGGGCCAGCCCAAGGAGUUCUGUUAAUCAGCUCAGUGGUCUGGUUAAACUAAGAUAUACAUAACUUAACCUUUUGGGAAAUUUAAGGGGUGGUGUGUAACCAUAUAUUUCAUGCUACUGUAAUGAACUUGGUGUUAUUUUAAAGCGUAAGAGCUGAACUUGAUCAUGACAUGUAUAAAAAUGGCAGAAAAUAAAAAACUAAUAUCAUGAGUAAAAGCAUAAUGUA